GAUGAACGCUGGCGGCGUGCUUAACACAUGCAAGUCGAACGGAGUUUACAUGUGAGCGGAGGGUGCUUGCAUCUAACAAUCUUUUGUAAACUUAGUGGCGGACGGGUGAGUAACGCGUGGGUAACCUGCCGUAUACAGGGGGACAACAGUUGGAAACGACUGCUAAUACCGCAUAAGCGCACAGGACCGCAUGGUCUGGUGUGAAAAACUCCGGUGGUAUACGAUGGACCCGCGUCUGAUUAGCUAGUUGGUGAGGUAACGGCCCACCAAGGCGACGAUCAGUAGCCGACCUGAGAGGGUGACCGGCCACAUUGGGACUGAGACACGGCCCAAACUCCUACGGGAGGCAGCAGUGGGGAAUAUUGCACAAUGGGCGAAAGCCUGAUGCAGCGACGCCGCGUGAACGAAGAAGUAUUUCGGUAUGUAAAGUUCUAUCAGCAGGGAAGAUAAUGACGGUACCUUUCGAGGAAGCCACGGCUAACUACGUGCCAGCAGCCG
rnacentral:rRNA from 1 species